rnacentral:rRNA from 1 species
GAUGAACGCUGGCGGCGUGCUUGACACAUGCAAGUCGAACGGUGAAGCUCCAGCUUGCUGGAGUGGAUCAGUGGCGAACGGGUGAGUAACACGUGAGCAACCUGCCCCUGACUCUGGGAUAACAGCCGGAAACGGCUGCUAAUACCGGAUAUGCACCAUGAACGCAUGUUCUGUGGUGGGAAAGAUUUUUCGGUUGGGGAUGGGCUCGCGGCCUAUCAGCUUGUUGGUGAGGUAAUGGCUCACCAAGGCGUCGACGGGUAGCCGGCCUGAGAGGGUGACCGGCCACACUGGGACUGAGACACGGCCCAGACUCCUACGGGAGGCAGCAGUGGGGAAUAUUGCACAAUGGGCGAAAGCCUGAUGCAGCAACGCCGCGUGAGGGAUGACGGCCUUCGGGUUGUAAACCUCUUUUAGCAGGGAAGAAGCGAGAGUGACGGUACCUGCAGAAAAAGCGCCGGCUAACUACGUG